rnacentral:misc_RNA from 1 species
UUCAGAGCAGAAGACGGAAUUUACAGAAAGCUCUAAAGAUUACCACUGGAGGAAAAGGCUACAAGCAUAAAAUGGCCAAGUUAGACGAUUUAGGCAAGCUAGAGGGCAAUUUUAUCCGUACCUAUAAUCACAAGCUAAGCAAAAGAGUGAUUGAAUUUGCGCUUAAGCACAGAGCCAAAAACAUCAUUGUCAACGAGAUCAAAGCAACGACUGAGGAUGAUCCGGAAGACGCGCAAAAGUUUGAGGUCAGGAAUUGGGCUGGCUUUCAUUUAAGUGAAAUGAUUGUGUAUAAAGCCAAAAUGCACGAUAUUUCCGUCC